rnacentral:lncRNA from 1 species
CACAUACAUCAGUCCAUAACACUGUGGACAUCUCCCCUCCCUGCACCACUCCAAGAGCCAGUAAAGCACAGACUCUGUACCAAGUGACACCAUGGCUCUCACUUGAUUCCUAAUCAACCUGGAAGAGGAGAGCACAGAGACAGACCCAGGAGAUGGCCAUAGGAAAACACCACACUAAUGAAGAUGGAGGCAGAGACCAGAGCAAUGUGUCUACAAAUUGAGGUUGCCAAGCAUUGCCAGCAACCACCAGAAACUGGAAGAGGCAAGGACGCAUUCUCCUGUACAGUCUUGGAGAGAGCUUGGCCCCACUGACAGCUUGAUUUCAGACUUCCUGCCUCCAGGGGUGUGGGAUAAUACUGGCCUGUUUAAACUAUGCAGUUUGUGAUACUUUGUGAUACUUAACAAAUGAAUGCACCUCCUUCCUAUGGUACAGAAAGAGUAGCGCUGUGGAUCCCAGGUAUAGUCCUGCUAAACAGACUUUCAGGGUAAAUUCAACACAGAAAAGAAUGGAGAGAACACCCAUGUACCAUGCUGGGGCUCUAUGCACCUCACAUGUAGGAUCAUGAUUGUCCCCCAGUUAAGUGUAAGCAUUUCCAAUUUACAAAUAAGAAAACUGAAGUACAGAGAAGAGAAGCUAUUUGUUUGUAAGUUCAUUUUUUCCCUUACAAAAGGAGCAAACCCACAC